rnacentral:pre_miRNA from 1 species
ACUUACGAUGUAAGGGAAUCUGCAGCUUGUGAGGUGCUGCAGAAAACCCCCCAGGCGCUGGGUUUUUCUUCUGCCGCACCUCACGAGCUGCAGGUUCCCUUACAUCGCAAG